CCCUUAGAUGUCCUGGGCUGCACGCGCGCUACACUGAUGUGUCCAGUAAGCACCUAACCUCUUCCGAAAGGAACGGGUAACCUUUGCAAAGCACAUCGUGAUGGGGAUAGAUUAUUGCAAUUAUUAGUCUUGAACGAGGAAUUCCUAGUAAGCACAAGUCAUCAGCUUGUGUUGAUUACGUCCCUGCCCUUUGUACACACCGCCCGUCGCUCCUACCGAUUGAAUGGUCCGGUGAGGCUUUGGGAUCUGAGCGGAAAGAGCGUUUCGCUGUUUCUGCUCGGAAAACUCAGUCGAACCUUAUCAUUUAGAGGAAGGAGAAGUCGUAACA
rnacentral:rRNA from 1 species